rnacentral:misc_RNA from 1 species
GAUGAAGAACGUAGCGAAAUGCGAUAAGUAAUGUGAAUUGCAGAAUUCAGUGAAUCAUCGAAUCUUUGAACGCACAUUGCACCCGCCAGUAUUCUGGCGGGCAUGCCUGUUCGAGCGUCAUUUCAACCAUCAAGCCCCCGGCUUGUGUUGGGGACCUGCGGCUGCCGCAGGCCCUGAAAACCAGUGGCGGGCUCGCUAGUCACUCCGAGCGUAGUAAUACAUCUCGCUCAGGGCGUGCUGCGGGUUCCGGCCGUUAAAAAAGCCUUAUUUACCCAAGGUUGACCUCGGAUCAGGUAGGAAGACCCGCUGAACUUAAGCAUAUCAAUAAGCGGAGGA